GACGAACCGAGCGAACGUUGUUCGGAAUCACUGGGCUUAAAGGGCGCGUAGGCGGGUGCUCAAGUCCGGGGUGAAAUCCUCCAGCUCAACUGGAGAACUGCCUCGGAUACUGGGUGUCUCGAGGGUGGUAGGGGUAUGCGGAACUAUCGGUGGAGCGGUGAAAUGCGUUGAUAUCGCUAGGAACUCCGGUGGCGAAGGCGAGGUGCUGGACCCUUUCUGACGCUGAGGCGCGAAAGCCAGGGGAGCGAACGGGG
rnacentral:rRNA from 1 species